UCCUCACUGUUUGUCUGUGUGUUCUUGUCUCUUGACAGGUCUGUGAGGAUGAGAAGGUCUCCACAGUCUGCAGUCUGGUCUCUGACAGGCUCAACAUACCUGUCAAUCAACAUGGACUCCUCUACAAAGGCAAGGCGCUGGCAGGUAGGCUGAACAGCACAGCACAGCACAGCACAGCUCACCCCUCCUCUCACUUCUCACCUCACCCCGGGUCAGUGUGGCACAGCCUGCCUGCUCUUCUGAACAAACACUUCAGCCCUGCCGACGCAGUGAGAGUCUGGAGCAGCAACACAAGGUGAUGAAGUGACACUUUGAAUAUGGGGCCUGAUGAGAGAAGUAUCCUUUUCAUGUGGUUUUGGUUUUGCCGUUGUGAGCAGGUAUGGGAGACAGCACCGUGUCUGCAUGUGAAAUAACAAAGUCAUCGCAGUGGAGGGACUCUCUGAAGGCUGCUGUUUGUGGAUUUGUCUUGUAAUAAAAUGGAUGGAGAAAAUCAGCUCUAGCAUCUGGUUUAGUCACUGAAGAGGAGGAGGGCCCUGACUGAGGAAGAGAUCGAGGGCAUGUACGCCAUGGAGGAGGACCUCCCUGAUGAAGAGCUGCUGCAGGAGAAUGAGGAGGAGGAGGAGGAGAGUGAUCUGGAGGAGCCCCAGUCCAGCACUUCAACUGCAGGGUAGUUUUGAAAAUAAAUAAAUACAGCACAAUAUGGAACGUUUUAUUUUUUUUGUCUACCU